GGAAGGUCCGGGCGUUAUCCGGAUUUAUUGGGUUUAAAGGGAGCGUAGGCCGUCUGGUAAGCGUGUUGUGAAAUGUCGGGGCUCAACCUGGGCAUUGCAGCGCGAACUGUCAGACUUGAGUGCGCGGGAAGUAGGCGGAAUUCGUCGUGUAGCGGUGAAAUGCUUAGAUAUGACGAAGAACUCCGAUUGCGAAGGCAGCCUGCUGUAGCGCAACUGACGCUGAAGCUCGAAAGCGUGGGUAUCGAACAGGAUUAGAUACCCUGGUAGUCCACGCGGUAAACGAUGGAUGCUCGCUGUUUGCGUCUGACGUAAGCGGCCAAGCGAAAGCGUUAAGCAUCCCACCUGGGGAGUACGCCGGCAACGGUGAAACUCAAAGGAAUUGACGG
rnacentral:rRNA from 1 species